rnacentral:rRNA from 1 species
CCUACGGGGCGCACCAGUAGGGAAUCUUCGGCAAUGGACGAGAGUCUGACCGAGCAACGCCGCGUGAGUGAAGAAGGUUUUCGGAUCGUAAAACUCUGUUGUUAGAGAAGAACAAGUAGGAGAGUAAUUGCUCUUACCUUGACGGUAUCUAACCAGAAAGCCACGGCUAACUACGUGCCGGCAGCCGCGGUAAUACGUAGGUGGCAAGCGUUGUCCGGAUUUAUUGGGCGUAAAGCGAGCGCAGGCGGUCUUUUAAGUCUGAUGUGAAAGCCCUCGGCUCAACCGAGGAAGGUCAUUGGAAACUGGAGGACUUGAGUGCAGAAGAGGAGAGUGGAAUUCCAUGUGUAGCGGUGAAAUGCGUAGAUAUAUGGAGGAACACCAGUGGCGAAGGCGACUCUCUGGUCUGAAACUGACGCUGAGGAGCGAAAGCGUGGGGAGCAAACAGGAUUAGAUACCCGUGUAGUC